UAACAUAAGAGCUUGCUCUUGAUGACGAGUGGCGCACGGGUGAGUAACGCGUAUGCAAUCUACCUAUAAUUGAGGGAUAGCCCAAGAGAAAUUGGAUUAAUACCUCAUAAUAAUAUUUUUUGGCAUCAUUAAAUAUUUAAAACUCCGGUGAUUAUAGAUGAGCAUGCGUUCUAUUAGUUUGUUGGUGAGGUAAGAGCUCACCAAGACUACGAUAGAUAGGGGGCCUGAAAGGGUGAUCCCCCACACUGGUACUGAGACACGGACCAGACUCCUACGGGAGGCAGCAGUGAGGAAUAUUGCACAAUGGAGGAAACUCUGAUGCAGCCAUGCCGCGUGCAGGACGACGGCCCUACGGGUUGUAAACUGCUUUUUUACAAGAAGAAACCUUGGUACGUGUACCAACUUGACGGUAUUGUAAGAAUAAGCACCGGN
rnacentral:rRNA from 1 species